rnacentral:rRNA from 1 species
UGGGGAAUUUUGGACAAUGGGCGAAAGCCUGAUCCAGCAAUGCCGCGUGUGUGAAGAAGGCCUUCGGGUUGUAAAGCACUUUUGUCCGGAAAGAAAUCCUUGGCUCUAAUACAGUCGGGGGAUGACGGUACCGGAAGAAUAAGCACCGGCUAACUACGUGCCAGCAGCCGCGGUAAUACGUAGGGUGCAAGCGUUAAUCGGAAUUACUGGGCGUAAAGCGUGCGCAGGCGGUUUGCUAAGACCGAUGUGAAAUCCCCGGGCUCAACCUGGGAACUGCAUUGGUGACUGGCAGGCUAGAGUAUGGCAGAGGGGGGUAGAAUUCCACGUGUAGCAGUGAAAUGCGUAGAGAUGUGGAGGAAUACCGAUGGCGAAGGCAGCCCCCUGGGCCAAUACUGACGCUCAUGCACGAAAGCGUGGGGAGCAAACAGGAUUAGAUACCCUGGUAGUCCACGCCCUAAAACGAUGUCAACUAGUUGUUGGGGAUUCAUUUCCUUAGUAACGUAGCUAACGCGUGAAGUUGACCGUCUGGGGAGUACGGUCGCAAGAUUAAAACUUAAAGGAAUUGACGGGGUCAUAGCUGUUUCCU